UCCGUAGGUGAACCUGCGGAAGGAUCAUUACCGAGUUAGGGUGCCUCGUCGCGCCCGACCUCCAACCCUUUGCUUACUUGACCUAUUUUGUUGCUUCGGCAGGCCCGCCGCCCGGAAACGGGUGGCCGCCGGGGGCGUUUCACCGCCCCGGGCCCGCGCCUGUCGAUGGCCCUAUUAAAACUCUUGUCAAAACGUGUCGUCUGAGUUUAUCUAAACAAAUUAAAACCAAAACUUUCAACAACGGAUCUCUUGGUUCUGGCAUCGAUGAAGAACGCAGCGAAAUGCGAUAAGUAAUGCGAAUUGCAGAAUCCGUGAGUCAUCGAAUCUUUGAACGCACAUUGCGCCCUCUGGUAUUCCGGAGGGCAUGCCUGUUCGAGCGUCAUUAUCACCCCUCAAGCCCGGCUUGUUGUUGGAUGCAGCGCUUAUCCCGCUCCUCCCAAAGAUAAUGACGGCGUCUGCGACGACUCCUGUACACUGAGCUUUCGGGCACGUACACGGCUAGAAGUCCAGACCCGGUCGCCGUCCCCCCCCGCGGGGACACCCAUUACCACAAGGUUGACCUCGGAUCAGGUAGGAAUACCCGCUGAACUUAA
rnacentral:rRNA from 1 species